rnacentral:lncRNA from 1 species
CAAGAACUUGCUCAUCUGUUUCAAGACAUAGUUCAUAUAAUUUAACCAUACACGUGUUAGCCAAAGCCUUUCAAUAAAAAGAGAUAAAUAAUGAAACCUAAUGUUCCUCUUCUUAUAAUGAUCCUUUAGGCCUCAUCUACACAUGAAGUUAAUUAGUUUAAACUGGCAGAGGAAAAGCCUUGCCAUCAGGCUUACAAAGGGUAUAGUACAUUACAUGAUAGAAGAUGUUAAUAUUAGAAGUGGAACAGAUGGCUCAGAUUGAGAUUGGGAGCACAACUACAACUGAAAGAUGAAGAAAGAGAUUCAAAGAAGAACAAACAAGAGCAGAAAAUUCAAUUAAAAUGUCCAAUUUUGAGGAAGCAGGUGUGUGGAUUUUAUUAUUGAGACCUCUAGAUUCUCAUUUAGAGUAACCCAUUUGUGAGGCUUG